GUGAGUAAAGGCAAUUAAAGAGGUUAUGAAACAGUGCUGUGGAAACAUUGUGUGGCCUUAUUCUGACAGGGUACCCCUCAAGAGCCAUUGUGGUUGAGCUUGAGGCAAUUUGACAUCCUGCAGAACAUCCAAAAUAGUCAGACAUCGGUAUAAAAGGGUGCCAGACGUGUUGCUGAGAUGAAUCACUGCUACCUAUGGCUUCCAGCGCAUUCUGCCUGUGACAGAAGGGAUAAUUCCUUGUGGAUCAAAUAAAUACAGAUGUGAACUGGCCUGGGAUCGCCUUGGGGUCCUUUCGGUGGAACUGGAAGAGGUGGCCCGGGCCCGGGAAGUCUGGACUUGGAAACACUGCACACAAUCAUGUGACAAAAUAAAGAUAAUGG